rnacentral:tRNA from 3 species
GCGCCUGUAGCUCAUCUGGUAGAGCGUUCGCUCUCGGAGCAAAAGGUACUGCGUUCAAUUCGCAGCAGGCGCG